CUUACUGGAGGUCCGAACCCACGCACGUUGAAAAGUGCGGGGAUGAGGUGUGGGUAGCGGAGAAAUUCCAAUCGAACUUGGAGAUAGCUGGUUCUCUCCGAAAUAGCUUUAGGGCUAGCCUCGAGGUAAAGAGUCAUGGAGGUAGAGCACUGUUUGGACUAGGGGCCCUUCUCGGGUUACCGAAUUCAGAUAAACUCCGAAUGCCAUGUACUUAUACUCGGGAGUCAGACUGCGAGUGAUAAGAUCCGUAGUCGAAAGGGAAACAGCCCAGACCACCAGUUAAGGUCCCCAAAUAUAUGUUAAGUGGAAAAGGAUGUGGGGUUGCUUAGACAACCAGGAUGUUGGCUUAGAAGCAGCCACCAUUGAAAGAGUGCGUAAUAGCUCACUGGUCGAGUGACCCCGCGCCGAAAAUGUACCGGGGCUAAACAUAUUACCGAAACUGUGGAUGAACCUCUUUAGAGGUUCGUGGUAGGAGAGCGUUCUAAGGGCGGUGAAGUCAGACCGGAAGGACUGGUGGAGCGCUUAGAAGUGAGAAUGCCGGUAUGAGUAGCGAAAGAAGGGUGAGAAUCCCUUCCACCGAAUAUCUAAGGUUUCCUGAGGAAGGCUCGUCCGCUCAGGGUUAGUCGGGACCUAAGCCGAGGCCGAUAGGCGUAGGCGAUGGACAACAGGUAGAGAUUCCUGUACCAGUGCUAAUUGUUUAACCGAUGGGGUGACACAGAAGGAUAGGGAAUCGCACGAAUGGAAAUGUGCGUCCAAGCAGUGAGUGUGAG
rnacentral:rRNA from 1 species